rnacentral:rRNA from 1 species
CGCCUUGCCAGCCCGCUCAGAAACUUAAAGGAAGUUGACGGGGCCCGCACAAGCGGAGGAGCAUGUGGUUUAAUUCGAUGAUACGCGAGGAACCUUACCUGGGCUCGAACGUAAGAUGACUGUAGGUGAAAGCUUACAUCUCUUCGGAGCAUUUUACGAGGUGCUGCAUGGUUGUCGUCAGCUCGUGCCGUGAGGUGUCGGGUUAAGUCCCAUAACGAGCGCAACCCCUACCUUUAGUUGCCAUCAGGUUAAGCUGGGGACUCUAAAGGAACUGCCUACGCAAGUAGUGAGGAAGCGGGGAUGACGUCAAAUCAGCACGGCCCUUACGUCCAGGGCUACACACGUGCUACAAUGGCCGAUACAGAGGGCAGCUACCUGGUGACAGGAUGCAAAUCUCCAAAGUCGGUCUCAGUUCGGAUCGGAGUCUGCAACCCGACUCCGUGAAGUUGGAUUCGCUAGUAAUCGCGCAUCAGCCAUGGCGCGGUGAAUACGUUCCCGGGCCUU